GCCAGGUGUGGUGGCAUGCACCUGUAGUCCCAGCUACUUGGGAGGCUGAGGUGGGAGGAUCACUUGAGCCCAGGAGUUCAAGGCUGCAGUGAGCUAUGAUUGUGUCACUGCACUCCAGCCUGGGCAACAGAGUGAGACACUGUUUUUU
rnacentral:SRP_RNA from 2 species